rnacentral:rRNA from 1 species
UACGGGGGGGGCAAGCGUUGUUCGGAAUUACUGGGCGUAAAGGGCUCGUAGGCGGCCAACUAAGUCAGACGUGAAAUCCCUCGGCUUAACCGGGGAACUGCGUCCGAUACUGGCGGGCUUGAAUUCGGGAGAGGGAUGUGGAAUUCCAGGUGUAGCGGUGAAAGUGCGUAGAUAUCUGGAGGAACACCGGUGGCGAAGGCGGCAUCCUGGACCGACAUUGACGCUGAGGCGCGAAAGCCAGGGGAGCAAACGGGG